AAAUACGUAAUGUGUUAAAUUUAAAUUAAAUGCUAAUUUUCCGCAUUUCUACAAAAGUCCUAUAAAAGGCGACACACAAUAAGGGUUCCAAUCAAUUCUAAAAUAAUUUGCAGAAAUGAAACUCUUGGCGUUAGUAAUGGGUUUGUGCCUCAUUUGCAGUGUUUAUUCUAAAGCGUCACGCAAGCCGUGGGAUCCACCAUAUCCUUCGGGUAAAUAAUUUAACGUACGAAAUGUAUUUGUUAGAAGAGCAUUUUUUUCUAAUUGUACACUUACACUAAAAGUACGUAAUAAAUAUACAUAUAUUGGUUUUUAAA